rnacentral:lncRNA from 1 species
GGCAGGAGGAGGAGGAGGAUCGCAUUGGCCAGUAGGCAGCACCCUGUGCUGGCAGAGAGAGAAAUCUGAGCCUCAGCCUCGCCAGGAGCAGGCUUUGCACAAACUAUCUGGUUUCAAGUUGCGACUCUCCGGAGUCCCUGGGAAGGUGCCCCAGGGACAGGGCCCCCAGGAUUGAUGAGACUCCCCCAUCCCCAGCCGCCCAGAGGAUAAGCAGGUGGGAAAAUGAUGUCUUAACAAGAUUAUAGGACUGGCCAAGGCAUCCAGGAUCCCACUACCACUUCUGGAGCCAUUGCCACCUCAAGCCAGCUGUUAGAAGAGCCACUGGGCGCUAACCCUGGCCCCACUCGUUCCUUCGAGAACCUUGUCCAGGCCUGUGGUAGCAUUAUAACUCCAGUAAAGAAAGUGCCCAGAGGAAGUGGUCAUACACUUAGGAAGGGAGGAAGAAGUCCAUCUCUCAUGGGUUCCAUGACACCACGUCUCGGUGCCAUUGGAAGCCAGAAGAAGCCAUCAGUUCUACUGAGGCUGGAGCUACAGGUAGUCGUGAAUUGCCUGAUGUGGAUUCUAGGACGGAACUCCAGUUCUCCACAAAAGCAUCAAUUAUGUUUCUGCUUUGGAGCUUCUGGCAAGCUGUUGAAGGAGGUAUCUAUAACUACCGUGAUUCUGGACCCUACGAAGAGACGUUCAUGAUGCUUCACACAUUCCACAGUUCUUCACAGCCUGUGAACCGUCAUGCUACUAAAAGAAUGUCCACAUGAAUACUGUUGGGGGAAGUAACCACGUGAAGACUUUAGAAAAAGACCCCCUUGGGCCCAGGUAAAGAUCAUUACUGAAAUGUCCUUAGCAGGUUUGCAUGAUUUUCACUUUCACUGGCUUUGGAUAUAAAACAGUUGUUAAUAUCAGUGUUCUCUAUGCUCUCUGGCCCACAGCAGUAUUUGAAUUGUAGUCUAAAGCUGUUUAGAAAUGUUCUAAACAUUUCAUUCUUAGGUGUUCUCAACAAAGCCAAUAUCUCUUCAGAAAAUAUACUGAAGACAUCAAGAUCUUUCUGUGGCUGGUGGCCUGUAUCUUCAUGUUGUCAAUUGCUGGCAUUCAUGAUAAAAUAGCUCCA